ACAUAAUCAACAAGGGGGGAAAAUUACAUCAAUAGAGAAUAGAAACGGAAAAUUACCCGCUUCAAUUCCUUUUUGCGGAUCUCUUUGCGGUAGGAAUCGGUAGGGUUCAUCGUUUUGCCUCCCUUCGUCGUCUUCACCAUUGUGACUGCUUUUCAAUAAUCUGUAAACCGAGUUUUCUAUCCUCAAUCGUCGUUCUCCGUCGAGGAAGAUAUCCCAAAUGGGUGUCGUCGAUAAAUAAAACCUCGCUGCGAAUUCGAUUUUGAGUGUUUUUGCAGAGGAUUAAGCAAAAUACGGAGACGAGAAUUUGAUUAGAAAUAGUGAUUUGGGUUCGGGUCGGGUUUUCAUCUAAACGGGUAAAGCAUGAAAAGAGAGUUAAACGUUUUGCAGAAGAAUGAA
rnacentral:lncRNA from 1 species